GUGCUCACUUCAGCAUCACAUAUACUAAAAUUGGAAUGAUACAGAAAGGAUUAGCAUGGCUCUGGAACAAGGAAGUCAUGAAAGUUUGUGAAGGAGUUCCAUUUUAA
ensembl:snRNA U6 U6 spliceosomal RNA